UCAAGUGAAGAAGCGCAUACGGUGGAUGCCUUGGCAGUCAGAGGCGAUGAAAGACGUGGUAGCCUGCGAAAAGCUUCGGGGAGUCGGCAAACAGACUGUGAUCCGGAGAUGUCUGAAUGGGGGAACCCAGCCAUCAUAAGAUGGUUAUCUUGUACUGAAUACAUAGGUGCAAGAGGCGAACCAGGGGAACUGAAACAUCUAAGUACCCUGAGGAAAAGAAAUCAACCGAGAUUCCCUUAGUAGUGGCGAGCGAACGGGGACCAGCCCUUAAGUUGUAUUGAGAUUAGCGGAACGUUCUGGAAAGGACGGCCAUAGUGGGUGAUAGCCCUGUACGCGAAAAUCCCUUUGCAAUGAAAUCGAGUAGGACGGGGCACGAGAAACCUUGUCUGAAUAUGGGGGGACCAUCCUCCAAGGCUAAAUACUACUGACUGACCGAUAGUGAACCAGUACCGUGAGGGAAAGGCGAAAAGAACCGCGGAGAGCGGAGUGAAAUAGAUCCUGAAACCGUAUGCGUACAAGCAGUGGGAGCCCACUUGUUGGGUGACUGCGUACCUUUUGUAUAAUGGGUCAGCGACUUAUUUUCAGUGGCGAGCUUAACCGAAUAGGGGAGGCGUAGCGAAAGCGAGUCUUAAUAGGGCGUCUAGUCGCUGGGAAUAGACCCGAAACCGGGCGAUCUAUCCAUGGGCAGGUUGAAGGUUGGGUAACACUAACUGGAGGACCGAACCGACUACCGUUGAAAAGUUAGCGGAUGACCUGUGGAUCGGAGUGAAAGGCUAAUCAAGCUCGGAGAUAGCUGGUUCUCCUCGAAAGCUAUUUAGGUAGCGCCUCAUGUAUCACUGUAGGGGGUAGAGCACUGUUUCGGCUAGGGGGUCAUCCCGACUUACCAAACCGAUGCAAACUCCGAAUACCUACAAGUGCCGAGCAUGGGAGACACACGGCGGGUGCUAACGUCCGUCGUGAAAAGGGAAACAACCCAGACCGUCAGCUAAGGUCCCAAAGUCAUGGUUAAGUGGGAAACGAUGUGGGAAGGCUUAGACAGCUAGGAGGUUGGCUUAGAAGCAGCCACCCUUUAAAGAAAGCGUAAUAGCUCACUAGUCGAGUCGGCCUGCGCGGAAGAUGUAACGGGGCUCAAACCAUGCACCGAAGCUACGGGUAUCAUCUUUUGAUGAUGCGGUAGAGGAGCGUUCUGUAAGCCUGUGAAGGUGAGUUGAGAAGCUUGCUGGAGGUAUCAGAAGUGCGAAUGCUGACAUGAGUAACGACAAUGGGUGUGAAAAACACCCACGCCGAAAGACCAAGGUUUCCUGCGCAACGUUAAUCGACGCAGGGUUAGUCGGCCCCUAAGGCGAGGCUGAAAAGCGUAGUCGAUGGAAAACAGGUUAAUAUUCCUGUACUUCUGGUUAUUGCGAUGGAGGGACGGAGAAGGCUAGGCCAGCCUGGCGUUGGUUGUCCAGGUUUAAGGUGGUAGGCUGAGAUCUUAGGUAAAUCCGGGAUUUCAAGGCCGAGAGCUGAUGACGAGUGUUCUUUAGAACACGAAGUGGUUGAUGCCAUGCUUCCAAGAAAAGCUUCUAAGCUUCAGGUAACCAGGAACCGUACCCCAAACCGACACAGGUGGUUGGGUAGAGAAUACCAAGGCGCUUGAGAGAACUCGGGUGAAGGAACUAGGCAAAAUGGCACCGUAACUUCGGGAGAAGGUGCGCCGGUGAGGGUGAAGCAUUUACUGCGUAAGCCCACGCCGGUCGAAGAUACCAGGCCGCUGCGACUGUUUAUUAAAAACACAGCACUCUGCAAACACGAAAGUGGACGUAUAGGGUGUGACGCCUGCCCGGUGCCGGAAGGUUAAUUGAUGGGGUUAGCGCAAGCGAAGCUCUUGAUCGAAGCCCCGGUAAACGGCGGCCGUAACUAUAACGGUCCUAAGGUAGCGAAAUUCCUUGUCGGGUAAGUUCCGACCUGCACGAAUGGCGUAACGAUGGCGGCGCUGUCUCCACCCGAGACUCAGUGAAAUUGAAAUCGCUGUGAAGAUGCAGUGUAUCCGCGGCUAGACGGAAAGACCCCGUGAACCUUUACUAUAGCUUUGCACUGGACUUUGAAUUUGCUUGUGUAGGAUAGGUGGGAGGCUUUGAAGCGUGGACGCCAGUCUGCGUGGAGCCAACCUUGAAAUACCACCCUGGCAACUUUGAGGUUCUAACUCAGGUCCGUUAUCCGGAUCGAGGACAGUGUAUGGUGGGUAGUUUGACUGGGGCGGUCUCCUCCUAAAGAGUAACGGAGGAGUACGAAGGUGCGCUCAGACCGGUCGGAAAUCGGUCGUAGAGUAUAAAGGCAAAAGCGCGCUUGACUGCGAGACAGACACGUCGAGCAGGUACGAAAGUAGGUCUUAGUGAUCCGGUGGUUCUGUAUGGAAGGGCCAUCGCUCAACGGAUAAAAGGUACUCCGGGGAUAACAGGCUGAUACCGCCCAAGAGUUCAUAUCGACGGCGGUGUUUGGCACCUCGAUGUCGGCUCAUCACAUCCUGGGGCUGAAGCCGGUCCCAAGGGUAUGGCUGUUCGCCAUUUAAAGUGGUACGCGAGCUGGGUUUAGAACGUCGUGAGACAGUUCGGUCCCUAUCUGCCGUGGACGUUUGAGAUUUGAGAGGGGCUGCUCCUAGUACGAGAGGACCGGAGUGGACGAACCUCUGGUGUUCCGGUUGUCACGCCAGUGGCAUUGCCGGGUAGCUAUGUUCGGAAAAGAUAACCGCUGAAAGCAUCUAAGCGGGAAACUUGCCUCAAGAUGAGAUCUCACUGGAACCUUGAGUUCCCUAAAGGGCCGUCGAAGACUACGACGUUGAUAGGUUGGGUGUGUAAGCGCUGUGAGGCGUUGAGCUAACCAAUACUAAUUGCCCGUGAGGCUUGACCAU
rnacentral:rRNA from 1 species